GCUGACACGCUGUCCUCUGGCGACCUGUGUCGCUGGAGAGGUUGGGCCUCUGGAUGCGUGCGGGACUCUGGCCCACCGCUGACCCGGCUAGCCGGCCCUGCUCCCGCUCGAGCCGCCUGCUGCUGGGGCCCGCGGGCCUGCUGCUCUCUCGCGCGUCCGAGCGUCCCGACUCCCGGUGCCGGCCCGGGUCCGGGUCUCUGACCCACCCGGGGGCGGCGGGGAAGGCGGCGAGGGCUACCCUGCCCCCGUGCGCUCUCCGCCGCGGGCACCCGGGGCGGCCGUGACAACCCCACCCCCGUCGGCUCCGUGCCGUGCGUGUCAGGCGUCCUCGUCUCCGCUGGGUUGUCCGCCGCCCCUUCCCCGGAGCGGGGGACGGCCGGGGCCGAUCGGCUCGCUCGCCGGCCGGCUGGCCGACUCCCCGCUCCCGGGGGCUCUUCCGUGAUCGAUGUGGUGACGUCACGCUCUCCCGGGCCGGAUCCGAGCCGCGACGGGCGAGGGGCGGACAUUCGUGGCGAAUGGGACCGUUCUUCUCGCCCCGCCCGCGGGGGCCCCUUGCCUCUCCUCCGUCCGCCUGCCGGUGGUGCGUUGGGAAGGCGUGGGGUGCGGAACCCGGCCUGACCUGGCUGUCCCGUCCCCGCUCUCCGCUUCGCGGGGUGGGUCGGCGGGGUCCUCUGACGCGGCGGGCAUCCCUCGCUCUCGCCUCCCGCGGUCGUCGACUUGCGGGCGGGCCCCCUCCGCGGCGGUGGGGGUGCCGUCCCGCCGGCCCGUCGUGCUGCCCUCUCGGGGGGUUUCGCGCGAGCGUUGGCUCCGCCCGGGCCUUUGCGGUGCUCCUGGAGCGCUCCGGGUUGUCCCUGAGGUGCCCGAGGCCGAGCGGUGGUGUGUCGCUCCCACCCCCGGCGUCCCCUCCUCCGGUGUCCGCGCGUGGGUCCCGAGGGGAGCCCGUCGGCGUGGGGUUCGAGGCGGUCGAGUGAGAUGAGAUGCGCGCCCCUCCCGCGCGGGGAAGGGCGCCGCCUGGUCCGGCGAGCGCACGUCCCGUGCUCCCCUCUGGUGGGUGCGCGAGGGCCGUGUGAGCGAUCGCGGCGGGCUCGGGCCGGUGACGCGUGCGCCGGCCGGCCGCCGAGGGGCUGCCGUUCUGCCUCCGACCGGUCGCGUGCGUGGCUUUGCCUCGGAAGCGACGCAGGAGGCGGGUGGACGGGGGGGGCCUUGUGAGCCUGCCGGGCCCCCGCCCUGACCGCGAACGCUCGAGGUCGCCGCAGGCGCGCUUCUCCUCGUACCGCAGGCCCCCUCCCUUCGCCGGGCGUCCCCGAGCGCCUCUGCGGGCCCGACGAGGGGCGACUGGCGGGUGGGGAGUGUGACCCACCCUCGGUGAGAAAGCCUUCUCUAGCGAUCUGAGAGAGGUGUGCCUUGGGGUGCCGGAUCUCCCGGCCUGCCGCCUCUGUCUCCUUCUGCCUUUACGGUAGCGCUGUCGUAGCGACUCGCGCGCAGAGGACCCUCCUCCUUUUCCUCCUCGACGGGUUGAGGUUGGGGAGAGCGAGGGUUCCGCCGGCCACCGCGGUGGUGGCCGAGCGCGGCUCGUCGCCUGCAGUGUGGCCCGCGCCUCCCCCUUCCGAGUCGGGGGAGGAUCCCGCCGGGCCGGGCCCGGCGUCCCAGCGGGUUGGGACGCGGCCGCCGCGAGCGGUGGGUGUGCGCGGCCUUCCGUCCGGUGCGUGACCCCCACCUCGGCCGCGAGUCGGCUCUCCGCCCGCUCCCGUGCCGAGUCGCGAGCGGUGCCGACGACCGCGUGCGCGUGGGCGCGGGGUUGGGCCGCCUGGUCCCGGGAAAGCGUCCCACGCUUGGGGACGCGCCGGUCUCCCGGAGCGGGACCGGGUCGGAGGCUGGACGAGAAUGACGAGCGAUGGAUGCGGCCCUGGCGUCGGGUUGGUGGCUGUGGUCGCUUCGGGGCCCCCGGUGGCGGGACCCGGGGCUCGUGAGGCGGGUCUCGGUGGGUGCCGAGGGCCGUCCGGCGUCCCAGGCGGGGCGCCGCGGGACCGCCCUCGUGUCGGUGGUGGUGGGAUCCCGCGGCCGUGUUUUCCUGGUGGCCCGGCCGUGCCCGAGGUUUCUCCCGCCGAGCCGCCGCUCUGCGGGCUCCCGGGUGCCCUCGCCCUCGCGUUCCCCGGCCCUUGGCUCUCUGUGCGCCCCUUCCCCGCCCGCCGCCCGCCGAUCCUCUCCCCUCCCCGAGCGGCUCGCCGGCUCGACGUCGGUGGUGGCCUCGUCUGGGACCGAACCCGGCACCGCCUCGGGGGGCGCCGCCGCCGGCCGCUGGUCGGCCCGGUGUCCCCGUCCCCCGGCGUGCGCCUUCGGGACCGGGUCGGCGGCCCCCCCGGCGUUGGGCCCCGGUGGGCUCCCGGAGAGGGGUUUUUUGAGGGGUCGGCCUGUGGCGCGUGCGGGGGAGAGAGGGUUCCGGGGGGCUGGCCGCGACUGCGGCGGCGGUGUGGGGGAGCCGCGCGGAUCGCCGAAGGUC
rnacentral:precursor_RNA from 1 species